UACACUUUACACCAAAAACUGCUAACAACUGUUCUUGUAGACUAUUUGUUUUCUUAAACGGAGUCUGGUUAA
rnacentral:tRNA from 2 species